CAAUAGCGUAUAUUAAAGUUGUUGCAGUUAAAAAGCUCGUAGUUGAACCUUGGGUCUGGCUGGCCGGUCCGCCUCACCGCGAGUACUGGUCCGGCUGGACCUUUCCUUCUGGGGAACCUCAUGGCCUUCACUGGCUGUGGGGAGGACCAGGACUUUUACUGUGAAAAAUUAGAGUGUUCAAAGCAGGCCUUUGCUCGAAUACAUUAGCAUGGAAUAAUAAAAUACGACUCGCGUGGUCUAUUUUGUUGGUUUGCACACGCAAGUAAUGAUUAAUAGGGACAGUUGGGGAUAUUCAUAUUUGAGCGUCAGAGGUGAAAUUCUUGGAUCGCUGAAAGAUGAGCUUAGGCGAAAGCAUUUAUCAAAGAUGUUUUCAUUAUUCAAGAACGAAAGUUAGGGGAUCGAAGACGAUCAGAUACC
rnacentral:rRNA from 1 species